rnacentral:rRNA from 1 species
GACGAACGCUGGCGGCGUGCCUAAUACAUGCAAGUCGAGCGGACCACUUCAGUGGUCAGCGGCGGACGGGUGAGUAACACGUGGGCAACCUGCCUGUAAGACUGGGAUAACACCGGGAAACCGGUGCUAAUACCGGAUAAUCCUUUCCUUCACAUGAGGGAAAGCUGAAAGACGGUUUCGGCUGUCACUUACAGAUGGGCCCGCGGCGCAUUAGCUAGUUGGUGAGGUAACGGCUCACCAAGGCAACGAUGCGUAGCCGACCUGAGAGGGUGAUCGGCCACACUGGGACUGAGACACGGCCCAGACUCCUGCGGGAGGCAGCAGUAGGGAAUCUUCCGCAAUGGACGAAAGUCUGACGGAGCAACGCCGCGUGAGCGAUGAAGGCCUUCGGGUCGUAAAGCUCUGUUGUCAGGGAAGAACAAGUACCGGAGUAACUGCCGGUACCUUGACGGUACCUGACCAGAAAGCCACGGCUAACUACGUGCCAGCCGCCGCAGUAACAC